rnacentral:rRNA from 1 species
GGGGGCUUCGGCUCUCGCUAUUGGAUGAGCCUAUGUCGGAUUAGCUAGUUGGUGAGGUAAUGGCUCACCAAGGCAACGAUCCGUAGCUGGUCUGAGAGGAUGAUCAGCCACAUCGGGACUGAGACACGGCCCGAACUCCUACGGGAGGCAGCAGUGGGGAAUAUUGGACAAUGGGCGAAAGCCUGAUCCAGCCAUGCCGCGUGUGUGAAGAAGGCCCUCGGGUUGUAAAGCACUUUCAGCGAGGAAGAACGCCUAGUGGUUAAUACCCACUAGGAAAGACAUCACUCGCAGAAGAAGCACCGGCUAACUCCGUGCCAGCAGCCGCGGUAAUACGGAGGGUGCAAGCGUUAAUCGGAAUUACUGGGCGUAAAGCGCGCGUAGGUGGCUUGAUAAGCCGGUUGUGAAAGCCCCGGGCUCAACCUGGGAACGGCAUCCGGAACUGUCAAGCUAGAGUGCAGGAGAGGAAGGUAGAAUUCCCGGUGUAGCGGUGAAAUGCGUAGAGAUCGGGAGGAAUACCAGUGGCGAAGGCGGCCUUCUGGACUGACACUGACACUGAGGUGCGAAAGCGUGGGUAGCAAACAGGAUUAGAUACCCUGGUAGUCCACGCCGUAAACGAUGUCGACCAGCCGUUGGGUGCCUAGCGCACUUUGUGGCGAAGUUAACGCGAUAAGUCGACCGCCUGGGGAGUACGGCCGCAAGGUUAAAACUCAAAUGAAUUGACGGGGGCCCGCACAAGCGGUGGAGCAUGUGGUUUAAUUCGAUGCAACGCGAAGAACCUUACCUACUCUUGACAUCCUGCGAACUUGUGAGAGAUCACUUGGUGCCUUCGGGAACGCAGAGACAGGUGCUGCAUGGCUGUCGUCAGCUCGUGUUGUGAAAUGUUGGGUUAAGUCCCGUAACGAGCGCAACCCUUGUCCUUAUUUGCCAGCGAGUAAUGUCGGGAACUCUAAGGAGACUGCCGGUGACAAACCGGAGGAAGGUGGGGACGACGUCAAGUCAUCAUGGCCCUUACGAGUAGGGCUACACACGUGCUACAAUGGCCGGUACAAAGGGUUGCGAGCUCGCGAGAGUCAGCUAAUCCCGAAAAGCCGGUCUCAGUUAGUAUCGGAGUGUGCAA